GAUGAAGAACGUAGCGAAAUGCGAUAAGCAAUGUGAAUUGCAGAAUUCAGUGAAUCAUCGAAUCUUUGAACGCACAUUGCGCCCGGCAGUAAUCUGCCGGGCAUGCCUGUCCGAGCGUCAUUUCACCCCUCGAGCCGCUUUUAGUGGAUCGGUGUUGGGGCACUACGGUAAAACGUAGGCCCUGAAAUGAAGUGGCGGUCCCGCCGCGGUGCCCCCAUGCGUAGUAACGUUUAGUCUCGCAUCGGGUCCCGGCGGAGGCCUGCCGUCAAGCCUAUUUAUUCUCAGAAUAGUUUGACCUCGGAUCAGGUAGGGUUACCCGCUGAACUUAAGCAUAUCAAUAAGCGGAGGA
rnacentral:misc_RNA from 1 species